AUGGGAUGCUCAUUACGCUCCGCAGCCACCCCCUGCGCGCCGCGCGGUGUCACUGGUACCGGGCUGAGGAGCGCCGGGCGGCGCCUCCCGCACGCAGCCGAGCCCCGGGCACGGCGGGCAGGGCCGCGCUCAGCGGCUCUCCACAGGAACCCGCAUGGCGGCGGCCCCACAGGGACCCGGCCCCGACCUCGGCUCCGACCCCGGCUCGUCCUGCUGCCGUCCGGCUCCUCCGAGCGCCCCGCACCGCUUCGUGCCGGCGGCGGCGGGAGCGUGGUGCGACCUCUGCUGCCGCUUCGUCGUCUCGCAGGGCCUGCGCUGCGCCGAUUGCAAAUACACAUGCCACGCUCACUGCCGAGAUCUGGUGCACCUGGGCUGCCGGCGGAAUGGGAAAUUAAUGGACUGCCUCACUGCACAUGGCACCUUACAUGGAUCUGACAGCGAUGGUCAGGUAAUAGGUCUCAUGUUUGUGUAAUUACUGCUGUCUCUUGUCAGCUCUGUAAUGAAGCACGGUCUGCCUGCUUCACCCAGCUGCCUGGGAGUGAUGUCACACUUAAGCAUGGCCAGCAGCACUAUGGUUUUGCAGUGCUACUGCUGCCAGAUGGGUCAGUGCUCCUCCAAUCAGUUAUCAGCUAAGCUUGCUGAGAAUCAUCUCACAAAAUAGUAUUUCUUCUGUAGGUUUGGCUGCCCAAGGCAGGUGGCUGGAGCAGAGCAGGUGUGUGUGCUGGGGUGAGAGCCUGUGGCUGGGGCUGCCUGUUAGGCUGUCAGCUCUGCCAUGGAGCAGUUGGCAGCGAGCUGGAAAACCCAGGUGCUGCGUACUGCUGAAUGGAAUGCUGUGGGACUGUGAACAGAGCUAAGGGCUUGGCUGUUUGUGACCACUAAAUGAUGUUUCAGGUUUUGACUGGGUUUGGUGUAGUUUCGUCAUGCCUCUCUGCCAGUAAUUUCACAUUUCCUGAAAUUCCCCAGCAGCUUCAAUUUGUUGUGAUGUACCCCCUUCACUUAGAUCACCACAUUGCUUCUCACCUUGUAUUUCACCCUCAGUGUCUGCAUCUUCUCCCUGCACCUUCCUCAGUGUAUGCAUCAAAGCAGCACAUGACUGCAGGGAGGCAGGGAUCCUCCAUGAAGGAGGUUCACACAGUGAUAAAGAACCUUGCAACUCUUUAGUGCUUCGGUAAAAAUUGCACUGUGCUAAUUAGCUCUUCCCAUCAUCCAUUUCCAGAUGAUUUACCUUUCCUCAUCCACAAAAGUCCACCCACACUUAAUAAGGUGUUAAGCCAUUGAACUUUCACCUGAACCAGUUGAAGCUUCAGUAUGUCUCCAUUCCCUUGCUAGGCUUGCUGACUGUGCUGCAGACCGGCACAGAGCUUUCUCUGGGAAAAAAUAGUUUGAAUUAUUCUGCAAAAUUAUUCUGGCAUUCUGCAGAUGGAGUGUAGUCUGUAGGGUUUUAAUUAGACGCGGAGCAUGCUUUGGAAGCAAGUCUUCCAAUCGUCCUCACUUAACCUUGUUUUGGUUUGUAUCAGCAGGCAGACUUAGAGCACACAGACCUUUCAGGUUGAAAUUAAACUGUUUGCUGAAGUCUCAGUGAAGGGCACUGUGACGUGCUCCAGCCAAUGAUGACCAUUCAGCCCACAGGAACGAGGCUGUGACUGCCAUAAGUAAAACCUCUGAAGUCUUUAUAUCACUGACUCCAGGCUCUCGGCGCUGUACAAAAUUGCUUUGCUUUACAGAGUUGCUCCUAUUGCACCACAGGAUUUGUUAACGUAGGCGUACGAUGUUUGUCACAGAACAGUCCUUAGUGAGAAGCACGCUGAUAAGCGCUCCAGUGAAGCCUGCUUUUGCUUUAUCUACAUUAUGACUUUGAAAAUCACAUGGUAUGCAAAACCAGUUGAUUUUGCAUCACGCUAUGUUAGCAAAACACAUAUCUCCAGAGAGCAUGCAUGUAUUUGGGGAUAUCUCAGUCAUACAGUGAGUGUCCACUGAAAACGUGAUGGGAUUACAGAGAACUGCUGGAACUUUGUGGUACUUACAGAGAGGAAUGCCUUACUAACAACCUGUGUAGUCUUGACAGGGACUGGUCAGAUAGGUUUAUACUCUGGACUAUAAACUAACUGCUUGCCCUUGGAGCUCAAAAACCUGAAGUUUGCUGUCCUUUCUGUAUGUGGAUCUAUACACACACACACACACACACACACACACACAUAUAUUUCAUUAUAAAAAAGUCUAGGAAAUUUAAUUACGUACCUGCUUGGAGAGAUUGUGUGGUUAAAUACUUGUAAAUGAAGCUCACAGUUUCACACACACUGCAGUUGCCUGCUGAUGGAAAUAAAUGGCUGAGGUGAAAAGGGG
rnacentral:lncRNA from 1 species